rnacentral:rRNA from 1 species
AUUUCCCACCGCAAGGGUAAGACCCCAGAAAGACUAUCUGGUUGAUAGGUCGAAGGUGUAAGUGCAGCAAUGUAUUUAGCUUAUCGAUACUAAUAGGUCGAGGACUUGACCAAUUUUAUUUGAUGUUCA